AGCGAACGCUGGCGGCAGGCCUAACACAUGCAAGUCGAACGAACUCUUCGGAGUUAGUUGCGGACGGGUGAGUAACACGUGGGAACGUUCCUUUAGGUUCGGAAUAACUCAGGGAAACUUGAGCUAAUACCGGAUGUGCCCUUCUGGGGAAAGAUUUAUCGCCCUUAGAGUGGCCCGCGUUCGAUUAGCUAGUUGGGGUGGUAAAGGCCGACCAAGGCUACGAUCAGUAGCUGGUCUGAGAGGAUGAUCAGCCACAUUGGGACUGAGACACGGCCCAAAAUACUGCGGGAGGCAGCAGAGGGGAAUCUUGCGCAAUGGGCGAAGGCAUGACGCAGCCAUGCCGCGUGAAUGAUGAAGGUCUUAGGAUAGUAAAAUUCUUUCACCGGGGACGAUAAUGACGGUACCCGGAGAAGAAGCCCCGGCUAACUUCGUG
rnacentral:rRNA from 1 species